AUUGAACGCUGGCGGCAUGCCUUACACAUGCAAGUCGAACGGCAGCACGGGAGCAAUCCUGGUGGCGAGUGGCGAACGGGUGAGUAAUAUAUCGGAACGUGCCCGGUCGUGGGGGAUAACGUAGCGAAAGCUACGCUAAUACCGCAUACGAUCUACGGAUGAAAGCGGGGGAUCGCAAGACCUCGCGCGAUUGGAGCGGCCGAUAUCAGAUUGGGUAGUUGGUGAGGUAAAGGCUCACCAAGCCGACGAUCUGUAGCUGGUCUGAGAGGACGACCAGCCACACUGGGACUGAGACACGGCCCAGACUCCUACGGGAGGCAGCAGUGGGGAAUUUUGGACAAUGGGCGCAAGCCUGAUCCAGCAAUGCCGCGUGCAGGAUGAAGGCCUC
rnacentral:rRNA from 1 species